CUUCUUCCCCUUUCUCACGAUCGACAUACAGAUUACAAACAGGAGAAGCCCCACCACCACCGGCGACCGUGCUUCCCACCUCCACCGGCGACCACGCUUUCCACCUCCACCAUCAGAACCCAACCCCAGCGCUCCCCACCACCGGCUUCUGGGCAAUCCGACUUUGCCCCACCCCCAGCGCUCCCCACCGCCGGCGAACGCCACCACCACCGGCUUCUGAGCAGUCCGACUUUGCCCCACCACAAAGGUUAUGCUUGGAAGAUUGAGAGGGCAGCUUGAUUACAUAUGGCUGUUAACUUUGGAAUUUCAAAUCCGAGCCAUAGCAACCAUUGCUUAUUCCUACCCAAGAAGAGUUUUUGUUGGAAAAAGCUUGAAGAUGAUUCAUGAGUUUAAAUAGAGAGAUAUCGGCAUAGAGAUGACUCCGCUUGGAAGUUCAACAACUUCGAGAUGCCACAUGCCGUUGAAAUAGAUUGAAGCUAUUCAAGUGAAUCAAAGGCCAAGAAAAUGAUCAAUUGUUGUAAUUUGGAACAUGAAAUUGUAAUUUGUUGGAAUAUCAAGUUGAAAUAUCAAGUUGAAAUAUCAAGUUGUAGUUUUGUGAAACCCAACUUCGCUUGUAACCUAUUUGUGUGACUGUUGUUUUAUGGUUUUUGUUGGGAAUGGAUAAUUUGGCAAUGGAUUGCAA